UGAAUACGAGAUGCUACGGCGUCGAAGCAGUCUAUGUCAUACUUCCAAGAAAAGCUUGCACUGUCAUAAACAAAUAAUGCCUGUACCAUAACCGACACAGGUGGGUAGGUAGAGUAUACUAAGGGGCGCGAGAUAACUCUCUCUAAGGAACUCGGCAAAAUGACUCCGUAACUUCGGGAGAAGGAGUGCCUUAUUUAUAAGGUUGCAAUAACAAGAUCCAAGCAACUGUUUAUCAAAAACACAGGUCUCCGCUAAGUCGUAAGACGAUGUAUGGGGGCUGACGCCUGCCCAGUGCCAGAAGGUUAAAGAAGUUGGUUAGUGUAUGCGAAGCUGAUGACUGAAGCCCUGGUGAACGGCGGCCGUAACAAUAACGGUCCUAAGGUAGCGAAAUUCCUUGUCGGGUAAGUUCCGACCCGCACGAAAGGCGUAAUGAUUUGGAUACUGUCUCGGAGAGAGGCUCGGUGAAAUAGACUUGUCUGUGAAGAUGCGGACUACCUGCACCAGGACAGAAAGACCCUAUGAAGCUUUACUGUAACUUGAAAUUGGAAUUGGACUUUGCUUGCGCAGUAUAGGUGGGAAGCGUUGAAGAUAUUCUUGCGGGAGUAUUGGAGCUAUCAGUGAGAUACCACUCUUGUAAUGUUAGAUUUCUAACUUUGAACCAUAAUCUGGUCAAAGAACAGUUUCAGGUGGGCAGUUUGACUGGGGCGGUCGCCUCCCAAAUGGUAACGGAGGCGUACAAAGGUUUCCUCUGAACGGAUAGAAAUCGUAUCUAGAGUGUAAAGGCAUAAGGAAGCUUGACUGUGAGACCUACAAGUCGAGCAGGGACGAAAGUCGGUCUUAGUGAUCUGACGGUACUGAGUGGAAAGGCCGUCACUCAACGGAUAAAAGUUACUCUAGGAUAACAGGCUGAUCUCCCCCAAGAGUUCACAUCGACGGGGAGGUUUGGCACCUCGAUGUCGGCUCAUCGCAUCCUGGGGCGGUAGUACGUCCCAAGGGUUGGGCUGUUCGCCCAUGAAAGCGGUACGCGAGCUGGGUUCAGAACGUCGUGAGACAGUUCGGUCUAUAUCCGGUGUAGGCGUUAGAAUAUUGAGAGGAGCCUUCUUUAGUACGAGAGGACCGAGAAGGACACACCGCUGGUGUACCAGUUAUCGUGCCAACGGUAAACGCUGGGUAGCUAUGUGUGGAGUGGAUAACCGCUGAAAGCAUCUAAGUGGGAAGCCCACCUCAAGAUGAGUAUUCUCAU
rnacentral:rRNA from 1 species